ensembl:lncRNA
UAUAUAUAUUUUUAUAUAUAACCCAUCACCUACUGAAUGCAAUUAACCAGCACAAAAGGAAAUAUGGUAACUCCUUCUAUCCAAAUAACUCCUAUUUUGAUCGGGAGGAUGGCGGCCAUGUUACUCACCCUCCCGUGUACAGCGGGGGGAGGGUGUGCUUUGUCUGUCAGCUCACAUCGGUGCUAACGGGUGUUGCCUGUGCAGUUAUGUCUGUCAAAUACAUCUCUCAACUUGGAAAUGUUGGAAAACUCACUCCAGUCCAGUGUUUGACAAAUCAUAUUAUAAAAACAUCCUUGCACAUACAUUUAAAAAAAGAAAAAAGAAAAGAAAAAACUUUAUCCCCUAUUUCAAAACAGCAGUCAAUACAUUUCAUACAAGCUUGUUUCAUAACAACAAUAAUAACAACAUACAAACCAACUUGGAGCAUAAAUUAUCAAAAACAAACUGAACACAUUACUGCAGCAUAUAUUUCAGGGUUGCUUAGUUGUGAUGUUAACUAACUUUACUACAACAGCUCCACUUCUGCCAAGUUCAUAACUAUAUAAGAGAUGUCUUUUUUUUUCUUUUUUUAUGAAGGGAAAUAGUCAAAAUCAAAAGCUGACAUAGGCAAAAAAAAAAAAAAGCCUGACAAAAUAUACACAUAUUUAUAACCACAUCUCAAAUUUCAACUCAUGUGCAUGUUUACAAAAGCAUCUAGGUACAUGAUAUGGCAGCAAAAAGCCUGAAAGCACGAUGGAAGAAGAAGAAAAAUCAAAAUCAAACCUAAGCUGCUUUUUAAAAAGGGUGCGUGUAAUUUUGGAUUUUAAAUGUUAAUAUCUUCGGCCCGGGUUUUGAUUUAAAAAAAAAAAACAAAAAAAAAAAACCCUGCCUGAAUUACAGUAAUUCAAUUUUCUAUUUUGAAUACACAGGAUGAACAAAUACAGCAGAUUUUACCCAGAUUUGGACCUCAUAGUUAUAAAACUAAUUGUUGCCAAAUGAUUUACAUUCGCUAUUACAAAAAUAUACUCUUUUUUUGAAUCACUUUGAUAAAUAAUACCUAAUCACGUCGCGAUGUUGAAAUCCAUCGUACAGUUUGGUUUGAAUUUACUUUUGUUGCGCAGUGACAACCGGCUUUGUUGCCUUUCUUUCAGCGAACAUUAAGGUCGAUUUGUUAAUAGGUGACGAGCACCUAAACUAGAUUUGAGUUGCUGAGACUUAAAGUUGUGUAUAAUUUUUUUUUUUCCAUUUUUUUUUUUUUUGGCUUAAUAAACAACUUACAAAUAUGUGCAAACUUAACAUCUUGGUCCAUCUCAAGUAUAAAUGGCUGAAUGUACUCUUAAGUUACAAUGUCAGAUUAGUUACUAGGGACAGCCUUAAAUAUAUUAAACACAAUCCAAUGUGAAGGUGAAAGUGUACACCGAUUUGCUAAAUGUGUGUAUAGAAGACGUAACCAAUGAUUAUUAUGUUUUGCCAGAGGAACAAUGCAACAUUUACAAUCUUAUACAUGUUUUAACAUGCAAUAGUUUACAUCACAGCUAUUGUGUCAGAUUCAUUUUUAUGUUUUGUUGCAUUUCUUAUUUUUAAAAAAAGAAAAUCUAUUUUGGUCUACAAUAGGCAAAUUAACACAACCACAAAACUAUAAACAAGUGACAUAACGUAUACGCAUUUUCACAAGCACCCUGCCAUGAGAUUAAAAACAAA